AAGAGCCAAGUGUUCCCUGGAGAGGAAGCAGUAUGUGUGGAAGCCCAGAGGUGGGAAAGGGCUUGAUUCCUUCGAGCAGCAGAAUAAGCUCCAGCCCUGGGAGACCCCAAAAUGCUGUGUGGUGGUGCCCUCUACUGGACGGAAGUGGCCUCUACUGGGCUGCUGCCUCUGAAGGGAGAAAGGAAGGAACCCGAGCCUCAGGAGGCUGCGACACUGCCGCAGAAACCCUGCAGCAUAGCUGGGACCGGGACCGACAUUUACACAUCUGAGGUCCUCCAGGGGUCAGGUCAAGGAAAGAAGAGAGAUGGCUGAGAGGUCAAGGAGGGUCUGAAACCCGGCGGCCCAGGGGGCUGGGCAAGGACGCGACGACGGGGAGGUCGAGCAGUUCCCGAGUCUUCCCAGCAGAGGGCGAGGCCGCCCCGAAGCUCCGCGAGCCUGCCCAGGCCACGCCCCCGCCGCGACCAGCCCCUCAGGGACCGGGAUGCCGCGAGGAGCCCCUCCCUCCGAUUUUGAAGGGCCUGCGGGGCGUGGGGAUGGAGGGGCGGUGGAUGGGGUAGGGCAAGGGAAGAAGAGAGGACCCGCAGGCGAGGUUGCCGCGGAGACGCUGUGGGCGUCUACGAUGGGGUCGAGUG